rnacentral:tRNA from 2 species
GGAGGAGUGGCCGAGUGGCUUAAGGCGGCGGUCUUGAAAACCGUUGUACGCAAGUACCGUGGGUUCAAAUCCUACCUCCUCCGCCA